AGGCCCACUAUUGAUCGGUCAAAGUGGCACUUAUGAACCUGAGGUUGAAGCAGUUUGGAUAAAAGGAUUCUGGGCUUUCGAUGGCCCCAGAGACAUCUUUUUCCAUCAAGUCCAGGCUUGCUGAUCGGUACAGCUGAGAACAUGUUGAAUUUGAUGUGCCUGUGGAUAUUUGAGUCUGGAACAUUGAAGACAAGUUUGGUCUGGAGAUGUAGACUGGGGAUAUCUCAGCACACAGAUGAUAACUGAAAUGAUGGAGCGGAUGAUAUAAACUGGAGAGAGUCUGGUGUGGGAAGAGUCUUCCCUGAGGUGGCCGAAAGAUGUAAUUCUUACUCCAAAGACUGAAAUAGAGACAAGAGAAGCUGAAGUUACAGGGUUUUGUCAUUGGGAAGACAGUAGAGUGUGUCAUAUCCCAAGAGUGAAGCAAGGACAAACCAAAGAACAACUGGGAAGAUCUGGGAGAAAAAGGGAGAGGAGAGCCUGACGUUUCAAGAACUCAAGGUUCAGUACUAGGUCUUAGAGGAAGACUUCAUUUUAGCUUUGAUGCUCUCCGCUAGGCACAGAGAAACUUAAGCAGAAUGACAAGACCUGCUGUUUGAGUAACUCACGUUCUGACCAGAGAGACAGACAUGUCAGCAAGAGGUUACAAUACAGUGUGCUCAGAUUCUCCGGGACUUGGAGCACUUGUUCCAGAAAGGAAGGCCAGGGAAGUCUUCCAGGAGUAGAUGGCGCCUCUGCUGACCUGAAGGGUGAGGAAAAAGUGUCCAGUUGCAGAAGGUAU
rnacentral:lncRNA from 1 species